UGUUGUCAUCUCUUCAGUUAGACUGGUGU
rnacentral:piRNA from 1 species